rnacentral:snRNA from 1 species
AGCUUUGCCAGCGGCACGAUCGCGGCCCGUGAGGUUAAUCCCAGGCGCGAUUAUUGCUAAUUGAAAACGUUUCCCAAUACUCGCUAUGACGACUUGCAAUACAGUCGGCAUCGGCAGUUUUUGAGAGCCUCUCCGGGGG